GAAAGAGAAACAGAAAAAAAUGAGAUCAUUAAAGCAAACAGAAUGUAGACUGCCACAUCAAAUGAGAAGAAGUGAGAAGCCUGUAUUUUCAUCCCAGUGGACCAAGAGGAAUGGGGGAAGGAAGGAAGGAAAGAAAGCAGUUUCACCUUUUUCAUUAAUCCCGUAUUUUUCAGUGAACACCACUCUUCUAACUUCUCUGGUAAAUUCCAAAACCUGCUUUCUGGAUAGUUCCAUGUAAACUUAUCACCACUGCAUGAAAUCUAGCAUGCUAUGUGCUCCGUGCUAAAGUAAGUCUCUCUUAUCCCAGAA
rnacentral:lncRNA from 1 species